rnacentral:rRNA from 1 species
CUUAGAUCGUACCUACUACAUGGAUAACUGUAGUAAUUCUAGAGCUAAUACAUGCCACUAUGCCCUGACCCGCAAGGGAACGGGUGGAUUUAUUAGAACAGAACCAAUCGUGUUGUGGCUUCGGCUGCUUCCGUUGCACUCUGUGAUGACUCUGGAUAACUUCACUGAUCGCAGUCGGCCUUGUGUCGGCGACGGAUCUUUCAAAUGUCUGCCCUAUCAAUUUUCGAUGGUAGGUGACCUGCCUACCAUGGUGAUAACGGGUAACGGGGAAUCAGGGUUCGAUUCCGGAGAGGGAGCCUGAGAAACGGCUACCACUUCCAAGGAAGGCAGCAGGCGCGCAAACUACCCAAYCCCGGCACGGGGAGGUGGUGACGAAAAAUACGGAUACGGGACUCGAAUGAGGCUCCGUAAUUCGAAUGAGUACAAUUUAAAUCCUUUAACGAGGAUCAACUGGAGGGCAAGUCUGGUGCCAGCAGCCGCGGUAACUCCAGCUCCAGAAGCGUAUAUUAAAGUUGUUGCAGUUAAAAAGCUCGUAGUUGGAUCUGGGUCGUAUGGCUACGUUCCGUUGCUCGUAUUCUGGGCUUGGUUUCGGCUAGGUCUGGUUUGCGGGUCGGUGUUGUGGCUGUGCAGCCUUUAUGCCGUGUCUGUAUUAACAGGUGCCGACCUAAUCAAUGAGCUUGUCUUGUCGGUUGGUUGGCAUGCUCUUUGAUGCCUUUGAACGGGUGUCGGGGGCGGAC